AUUGAACACUGGCGGCAUGCUUUACACAUGCAAGUCGAACGGUAACAGGCCGCAAGGUGCUGACGAGUGGCGAACGGGUGAGUAAUGCAUCGGAACGUGCCCAGUCGUGGGGGAUAACGCAGCGAAAGCUGCGCUAAUACCGCAUACGAUCUAUGGAUGAAAGCGGGGGACCGUAAGGCCUCGCGCGAUUGGAGCGGCCGAUGUCAGAUUAGGUAGUUGGUGGGGUAAAGGCUCACCAAGCCAACGAUCUGUAGCUGGUCUGAGAGGACGACCAGCCACACUGGGACUGAGACACGGCCCAGACUCCUACGGGAGGCAGCAGUGGGGAAUUUUGGACAAUGGGCGCAAGCCUGAUCCGGCAAUGCCGCGUGCAGGAAGAAGGCCUUCGGGUUGUAAACUGCUUUUGUACGGAACGAAACGGUCCUGGUUAAUACCUGGGGCUAAUGACGGUACCGUAAGAAUAAGCACCGGCUAACUACGUGCCAGCCGCCGCGGUAAGAC
rnacentral:rRNA from 1 species